UACGUAGGGUCCGAGCGUUGUCCGGAAUUACUGGGCGUAAAGAGCUCGUAGGUGGUUUGUCGCGUUGUCCGUGAAAACUCACAGCUCAACUGUGGGCGUGCGGGCGAUACGGGCAGACUGGAGUACUGCAGGGGAGACUGGAAUUCCUGGUGUAGGCGGUGGAAUGCGCAGAUAUCAGGAGGAACACCGGUGGCGAAGGCGGGUCUCUGGGCAGUGAACUGACGCUGGAGGAGCGAAAGCCGUGGGGAGCGAACAGG
rnacentral:rRNA from 1 species